rnacentral:rRNA from 1 species
GUAGGGAAUCUUCCACAAUGGACGAAAGUCUGAUGGAGCAACGCCGCGUGAGUGAAGAAGGUCUUCGGAUCGUAAAACUCUGUUGUUAGAGAAGAACGUGCAUGAUAGUAACUGAUCAUGUAAUGACGGUAUCUAACCAGAAAGCCACGGCUAACUACGUGCCAGCAGCCGCGGUAAUACGUAGGUGGCAAGCGUUGUCCGGAUUUAUUGGGCGUAAAGGGAACGCAGGCGGUUUUUUAAGUCUGAUGUGAAAGCCUUCGGCUUAACCGAAGAAUAGCAUUGGAAACUGGAAGACUUGAGUGCAGAAGAGGAGAGGUGAAUUCCAUGUGUAGCGGUGAAAUGCGUAGAUAUAUGGAGGAACACCAGUGGCGAAAGCGGCUCUCUGGUCUGUAACUGACGCUGAGGUUCGAAAGCGUGGGUAGCAAACAGGAUUAGAAACCCGGGUAGUCC